GAUGUGGAACCUGCAGAACUUGCCCAAGAUCACACUGCUAGUACCUGGUAAAGAGAAAAUUCAACCCAAGAAUGAUUGACUCCAACCUGCACUCUUGACAGGGCCACUAAGUUUCUUUAUUCACCCUGAGUUGACAAGACCAAGAUUUCAUGACUUCUUGCCUCGAUUACUAUGGUAUUCCACUCAUUGGUCAUCCUGUUUGCUGCUGCAUCUAAGACAUCAGUUUAUUCGAUGGUUCAACACUGACAACCAUACGUCACCACUGGGAAGACCAUAGCCUUUUCUAUAUGGACCUUUGUCGGGAGAGUAAUAUCUCUGCU